CUCUGAUUAUUGCAGCAGUCAGCCCUGGAUUUGUAGCAUGGCACUAGAGGGGAUGUUCUGGUACUUGCUUUGUAAAGUCAAUGCUGCUUUUCAGAAAUAGUAAAGACCUGGUUCUCUUUUAUUUUCUGUAUAACGCGUUUUUACUUUCAGCAGUGGAUGACAAGAGGUCUGGUAUUUGUGAUGGAAAACAAAAAAGUAGAUGUCGUGUAAGCCAGUCCACCUUCCUAUAGGUUUUGCAUGUUCGAAAAUGGCAUUUAUCUGGCACGUGCAUUUUUGAAGACUAACUUAGGAAACUUUAUUACCCAGCAUUUGGAAGUGUGCUGUCUAUCAGACAGCGGUUAGCCUGGUGACGUGCCUGAUCACCUGCUUCAGGUCUGGUCCAUCUUACAGGGCCUUUCAGAAGGCCACAGCGUGGGUGCGUUGCGGCGCAUGUUGGCAAGACGGGCAGAUGAGGUGGUUCUGCUGCUGGACCUGGAUCUUUGCACUGUACUCUGAGUUCCUCAUCAGCACAGCCCCGAUGGCACUAGGGGGUAUUGCGGUACCCAUCUGGGGGGAAAUCGGAGUUCUUUGCAGUUUAAGCCAUCUUGCUCCCUUUCACACAAAUCCUAAAGGUGUAAUAAUCCUGCUUAACGUGGUCCAACGGCUUUGUUUUUUCUGCCUCUCACAUGAAGGGUUAAAUUAUAACAUAUGACUGUCCUUUAGACUCUGUGACUACACAGAUGUUUAAUACACCCACGUAAAUUAAACUACCGAUUGCUUUCCUCACCUUUUUUUCCCUUCAAUCAUUAAUGAACAUUUUCUACAAGUAAGUUAAAACGCCCAAGCAGAUGACGAACUUUGGACAUAUUAGUUUGAAUCUGUUGUUCCAGGAGCUUUGCUCCUACACAGAUCUCGUAAAGACUGCAAGUGUACAAAAGGGUGCUUCCCAGUCUGGACCACAGGUUACAGGACAGCAGUAGAUCUAUUAUGUAGAAUAGUUCUGUGCUUUGAGGUUUUCCUCCAUAGCAGAUCAUGUACCUUCUGAUAAUAAAACAACAACAACAACAAAGAAAAGCCACCACUUGAAACUGGGGAAGUAAUUCCUUUGGGUUAUUCAGCUCACCAGCUGCAUUCAGUGCCCGACAAGUAUUCCUCCUAGGGGGCUGUAUGGAUGCACUCUAAACUUCUUCUCUACACCCUCAGGAGCUGCCACUGCUGCACCACCUGCAGAGCAGAUCAUCUAUCUGUACACCCAUACAGCUGCGGGUGACCUAGAAUUACACAUCCUGAGAUCAUGCUGGACUAAAAUAAGGUAAUUUUUUAACUAAGUGUUGGUCUCAUGUCUGGCCAUAUUUCACGAUUAUCUUUGCCCUUUGGAUUCCUAAACCCUAGAGGCUGGGGAGGGCUGCUAUAGGCGUUAUUUGUGCUUCCCUUUGUUUUCUAUUUUGGAGUAGAAGAUUGAGAAUUCUUCUGGUGAUGUAUGGGACAAAAGCGUAGUUAUGAAAGAUGCAGCUGUGGCACUGUUACAAUUCGCUUGCCUUUGAAGGCCCUUUAGGAAGGGUUUCUGAUGUGAAGAAAUAAGAUUAAUCUCUGGCUUGAGAACUAAGCCAAAUGGCAGCUCCCGAAACACUGUAGGCUGUGAGCAAAAACCUGGAAUUGGAGGGAGCUGCACUGCUUGUUGCAAAACCAAGGAUGAAGCAGUUGUGGAGGAGGGACUCCUUCCUUUUGCCUUUGGCUUCUAUGGCUUAUUUUCAUGGGUCUGUUUCUUACCAGCAAGGCUGCUCUCUCAACAUUAUGAUACGAACUUGACUGGCUUGUUCAUAUGAAAAACAGAGUUAAAUGUAAAGCAGAGGACUUCUUGACAGGAGGGCAUCCAAAGAAGUUAAGCUGCUCCUCGUGUGGCUACAGCACAAUUUCAAGUGGCCUUUCCACCUCAGCUGUCAUGGAGCCCAAGGAAUGACUGAAGUAAAUGGAGACCGUGCUGGCUGGGCAGCUGUCUUCAGUCACUUCUCGCUUAGGCAACCCGGUUAAACCCCACAUCGUUUCCUCCCAUGCCCAGUUUUCUAGAGCCCUGAUGGUUCCUAUUCUUCUUGUGUUGUGGGAUGUUUUUUGUUCCUGUUUCCCCACUUGGCUGCUCCUUCUGGUGUGAAGUACACAAACAGAACAAACACAGCCUACAGUGCUGUCUCAGGAAUGAGGCUGGAGUUCAUAUCAUACACCUGUCACUCCUUCUGGCAGUGUUUCCUUAUUUUCUUGAACGCUCUGAGGUAGAUUUAGGCACCUUAGAAGGCUGCUGAAGUUCAUGGACCUUUACAAAUAAUGCAUGGGGGAGUCAGUCUGGACUGCCAAUACCACAGAGGAGUUCUGCCAUGCCUGUCACUGCUGCAGGGGCUGUGAACGUUUUAAAUUGCUUCAGAAUGUCA
ensembl:lncRNA